GUCCAUUCUAAAAACCUAAAACAAACAUCCCAAAAAUAAGGACAGUGUGAUAUGUGGAUGAUAUCGAAUUGAAUGGCUAUUUCUUGCCACCGACAAUCGUAAGCAAAGGCAGAUGAAGGACAAGAGUUGCCAGGACUAUGAGUGGAAGCUAUAGCUACCUUUCUGAGCCUGGAUCCAUGAAACAGCCUUCAUGGCCACAAACUGCCAAUCCUCCUGAGCCUCCAUCUUGAAACCAUAGAGCCAUACCAGGGCUAGGACCGUGGCCCACACCUCCUGGUCCACCUUAGAUAGGGAGAGACAGACAGACAGAUGAGAGACAGAGAAAGUAAGGGAUAGAGAAAGAGAAAGAUGAUGA